rnacentral:rRNA from 1 species
AAACGACUCUCGGCAACGGAUAUCCCGGCUCUCGCAUCGAUGAAGAACGUAGCGAAAUGCGAUACUUGGUGUGAAUUGCAGAAUCCCGUGAACCAUCGAGUCUUUGAACGCAAGUUGCGCCCGAUGCCAUUAGGUUGAGGGCACGCCUGCCUGGGUGUCACGC